GCCAGGCAUGGUGGCGUAUGCUUGUAGUCCUAGCUACUCGGGAGGCUGAGGUGGGAGGAUCGCUUGAGCCUGGGAGGUGGAGGCUGCAGUGAGCUGAGAUUACACGACUACACUCCAGCCUGGGCAACAGAGCGAGACCCCAUCUCAA
rnacentral:SRP_RNA from 1 species